UACGUAGGGUGCGAGCGUUAAUCGGAAUUACUGGGCGUAAAGCGUGCGCAGGCGGUGAUGUAAGACCGAUGUGAAAUCCCCGGGCUUAACCUGGGAAUUGCAUUGGAGACUGCAAGGCUAGAGUGUGUCAGAGGGGGGUAGAAUUCCACGUGUAGCAGUGAAAUGCGUAGAUAUGUGGAGGAACACCGAUGGCGAAGGCAGCCCCCUGGGAUAACACUGACGCUCAUGCACGAAAGCGUGGGGAGCAAACAGG
rnacentral:rRNA from 1 species